GAUGAACGCUGGCGGCGUGCCUAAUACAUGCUAGUCGAGCGAACAGAUCAGGAGCUUGCUCCUUUGACGUUAGCGGCGGACGGGUGAGUAACACGUGGGUAACCUAUCUAUAAGACUGGAAUAACUCCGGGAAACCGGGGCUAAUGCCGGAUAACAUGUUGAACCGCAUGGUUCUACAGUGAAAGGCGGCUUUGCUGCCACUCAUAGAUGGACCCGCGCAGUAUUAGCUAGUUGGUGAGGUAACGGCUCACCAAGGCAACGAUACGUAGCCGACCUGAGAGCGUGAUGGGCCACGCUGGAUCUGAGACACGUUCGAGACUCCUACGGGAUGCAGCAGCAGGGAAUCUUCCGCAAUGCGCGAAUGCCUGACGUUGCAACGCCGCGUGAGUGAUGAAGGUCUUCGGAUCGUAAAACUCUGUUAUGAGGGAAGAACAAAUGCGUAAGUAACUGUGCGCGUCUUGACGGUACCUAAUCAAAAAGCCGCGGCUAACUUCGUG
rnacentral:rRNA from 1 species